UAGGUUAUUGCAUGUCAAGUAUUCAAUUUUAUUAAAAAAUACAGUACAAAUAAACACUGCUCCACUUAGGUCCAAACUAAAGUAAAGCAUUACUGAAUACUUUUAGUUAAUCAUUACAUGUUCUUUCAUUCUUUUAAAAAGCUACCUGUGAAAUCUUCCUGCAUUACAGAACAAGAUACGCAUUAUAAAUCCUAAACAAGACAUCCUGGUUGUUUUUUACAUGAAAUACCUUCUCUAAGUUGUGUAUUUGCUUUCCACAUAGAAAACAUGUAACGCUCAAUCAAUAUUGGGGUAGACCAGGAAGGCAGGCUUUAUAAACACUGUCUUUCUUCUCUCUCUCUCUUUUUUUUUUUUUUUUUUUUUUUUGAGAUGGAGUCUCCCUCUAUUGCCCAGGCUGGAGUGCAGUGGUGCAAUCUCGGCUCACUGCAACCUCUGCCUCCUCGGUUCAAGUGAUUCUCCUGCCACAGCCUCCUGAGUAGCUGGUACUAUAGGCGUGCACCACCAUGCCUGGCUAAUUUUUGUAUUUUUAGUAGAGACAGGGUUUCACCAUGUUGACCAGGAUGAUCUCGAACUCCUGACCUCAUGAUGCGCCCACCUCGGCCUCCCAAAGUGCCGGGAUUACAGGCGUGAGCCACCGCGCCCGGCUCUUCUCAUUUUUAACAGCAUAGCUUGGGCCUUGUGCGAGUCCUUGUGUGAUGUGAUUUGGAAAUCUUAAAGAGGAUAUGGGGCGUGGGGUGCCCUCAAAGGCUCAGCACCCAGCAGAAUGUGUUCUUGCUUAGGGUAGUAGUAAAUCACCCACGCCCUCGGCGGCGGCUCUUUUCUCCAGGGGGGACCACCUAGCGCUCGGCUUUGCACGGCCAAUUUAUGGCGCUGUCAGGGGCUCGGGCGCCGCGCCCAUUGUGCGGAACGCCGCGCCUGACCCCGCCGCCAGCGCUGUGUAGCCCGAUUGUUCCCUCAUUAGGGCGGCCGGGAGCGGCGGAAAGGCUCGCGGCCCUUUCCCACAAUCGCUGACAAUGUGCGGCCGCAGGCUUGUCACAGUCGCAGGCGAGGACUAAGUACUCCAGAAUUUUAAAUUAUUCUUAAAACAGAGAAAAAAAAAAUUCAAACUUCUACUUCUCAAAUUAGUUAAAUGAAGCUUGUCGACGGUUGGGAGUUGAGCCUUAUGACAGUUGGCUAAUUGCAGUUGGUACAUUAACUAUGUUUUAACCAGAGCUGUUUGGGAUCUAAGUAGAUUAAAAAAAUAAAGCAAGCCUGGGCAUUUCCAACGAAAAACGCUUAAAAUAACCACAAAGUUAAUAUUGGUUUUACUUGCUAUAUGUAUUACAAUACAAAAUGGAUUCCUGUAUCUUUA
rnacentral:lncRNA from 1 species